rnacentral:rRNA from 1 species
GACGAACGCUGGCGGCGUGCUAAUACAUGCAAGUCGAGCGAAGUUUUUCUGGUGCUUGCACUAGAAAAACUUAGCGGCGAACGGGUGAGUAACACGUAAAGAACCUGCCUUAUAGACUGGGACAACUAUUGGAAACGAUAGCUAAUACCGGAUAACAGCAUUAACUGCAUGGUUGAUGUUUGAAAGUUGGUUUUGCUAACACUAUGAGAUGGCUUUGCGGUGCAUUAGCUAGUUGGUGGGGUAAAGGCCUACCAAGGCGACGAUGCAUAGCCGACCUGAGAGGGUGAUCGGCCACACUGGGACUGAGACACGGCCCAGACUCCUACGGGAGGCAGCAGUAGGGAAUCUUCCGCAAUGGGCGAAAGCCUGACGGAGCAACGCCGCGUGAGUGAAGAAGGAUUUCGGUUCGUAAAGCUCUGUUGUUAGGGAAGAAUGAUUGUGUAGUAACUAUACACAGUAGAGACGGUACCUAACCAGAAAGCCACGGCUAACUACGUGCCAGCAGCCGCGGUAAUACGUAGGUGGCAAGCGUUGUCCGGAAUUAUUGGGCGUAAAGCGCGCGCAGGUGGUUUAAUAAGUCUGAUGUGAAAGCCCACGGCUCAACCGUGGAGGGUCAUUGGAAACUGUUAAACUUGAGUGCAGGAGAGAAAAGUGGAAUUCCUAGUGUAGCGGUGAAAUGCGUAGAGAUUAGGAGGAACACCAGUGGCGAAGGCGGCUUUUUGGCCUGUAACUGACACUGAGGCGCGAAAGCGUGGGGAGCAAACAGG